AUUGAACGCUAGCGGGAUGCUUUACACAUGCAAGUCGAACGAGUGGCGGACGGGUGAGUAAUAUAUAGGAACGUGCCCAGUAGCGGGGGGUAACUACUCGAAAGAGUGGCUAAUACCGCAUACUAUUGGAGCGGCCGAUAUCGGAUUAGCUAGUUGGGGGGGUAAAGGCUCACCAAGGCAACGAUCCGUAGCUGGUCUGAGAGGACGACCAGCCACACUGGGACUGAGACACGGCCCAGACUCCUACGGGAGGCAGCAGUGGGGAAUUUUGGACAAGGGGGGAAACCCUGAUCCAGCCAUCCCGCGUGUAUGAGAAGGCCCUAGGGUUGUAAAGUACUUUCAGUCGGGAGGCGUUACCGACAGAAGAAGCACCGGCUAAUUCCGUGCCAGCCGCCGCGGUAAUAC
rnacentral:rRNA from 1 species